ACGAACGCUGGCGGCAUGCCUAACCCAUGCAAGUCGCACGAGACCUUCGGGUCUAGUGGCGCACGGGUGCGUAACGCGUGGGAACCUGCCCUUAGGUUCGGAAUAACUCCCCGAAAGGGGUGCUAAUACCGGAUAAUGUCUUCGGACCAAAGAUUUAUCGCCUUUGGAUGGGCCCGCGUUGGAUUAGCUAGUUGGUAGGGUAAAAGCCUACCAAGGCGACGAUCCAUAGCUGGUCUGAGAGGAUGAUCAGCCACACUGGGACUGAGACACGGCCCAGACUCCUACGGGAGGCAGCAGUGGGGAAUAUUGGACAAUGGGCGAAAGCCUGAUCCAGCAAUGCCGCGAGAGUGAUGAAGGCCUUAGGGUUGUAAAGCUCUUUUACCCGGGAUGAUAAUGACAGUACCGGGAGAAUAAGCUCCGGCUAACUCCGUG
rnacentral:rRNA from 1 species